GAUGAAGAACGUAGCGAAAUGCGAUACGUAAUGUGAAUUGCAGAAUUCAGUGAAUCAUCGAGUCUUUGAACGCACAUUGCGCCCCCUGGUAUUCCGGGGGGCAUGCCUGUCCGAGCGUCAUUGCUGCCCUCAAGCACGGCUUGUGUGUUGGGCCUCCGUCCUCCUCCCGGGGGACGGGCCCGAAAGGCAGCGGCGGCACCGCGUCCGGUCCUCGAGCGUAUGGGGCUUCGUCACCCGCUCUUGUAGGCCCGGCCGGCGCUUGCCGACACAUCAAUCUUGUUUCCAGGUUGACCUCGGAUCAGGUAGGGAUACCCGCUGAACUUAAGCAUAUCAAUAAGCGGAGGA
rnacentral:misc_RNA from 1 species